ACAGGCUUAACACAUGCAAGUCGAGGGGCAUCAGGAAGAAAGCUUGCUUUCUUUGCCGGCGACCGGCGCACGGGUGAGUAACACGUAUCCAACCUGCCCUUUACUCGGGGAUAGCCUUUCGAAAGAAAGAUUAAUACCCGAUAGCAUAAUGAUUCCGCAUGGUUUCAUUAUUAAAGGAUUCCGGUAAAGGAUGGGGAUGCGUUCCAUUAGGUUGUUGGUGAGGUAACGGCUCACCAAGCCUUCGAUGGAUAGGGGUUCUGAGAGGAAGGUCCCCCACAUUGGAACUGAGACACGGUCCAAACUCCUACGGGAGGCAGCAGUGAGGAAUAUUGGUCAAUGGGCGCUAGCCUGAACCAGCCAAGUAGCGUGAAGGAUGAAGGCUCUAUGGGUCGUAAACUUCUUUUAUAUAAGAAUAAAGUGCAGUAUGUAUACUGUUUUGUAUGUAUUAUAUGAAUAAGGAUCGGCUAACUCCGUGCCAGCAGCCGCGGUAAUACGGAGGAUCCGAGCGUUAUCCGGAUUUAUUGGGUUUAAAGGGAGCGUAGGUGGACUGGUAAGUCAGUUGUGAAAGUUUGCGGCUCAACCGUAAAAUUGCAGUUGAUACUGUCAGUCUUGAGUACAGUAGAGGUGGGCGGAAUUCGUGGUGUAGCGGUGAAAUGCUUAGAUAUCACGAAGAACUCCGAUUGCGAAGGCAGCUCACUGGACUGCAACUGACACUGAUGCUCGAAAGUGUGGGUAUCAAACAGGAUUAGAUACCCUGGUAGUCCACACAGUAAACGAUGAAUACUCGCUGUUUGCGAUAUACAGUAAGCGGCCAAGCGAAAGCAUUAAGUAUUCCACCUGGGGAGUACGCCGGCAACGGUGAAACUCAAAGGAAUUGACGGGGGCCCGCACAAGCGGAGGAACAUGUGGUUUAAUUCGAUGAUACGCGAGGAACCUUACCCGGGCUUAAACUGCAGUGGAAUGAUGUGGAAACAUGUCAGUGAGCAAUCACCGCUGUGAAGGUGCUGCAUGGUUGUCGUCAGCUCGUGCCGUGAGGUGUCGGCUUAAGUGCCAUAACGAGCGCAACCCUUAUCUUCAGUUACUAACAGGUCAUGCUGAGGACUCUGGAGAGACUGCCGUCGUAAGAUGUGAGGAAGGUGGGGAUGACGUCAAAUCAGCACGGCCCUUACGUCCGGGGCUACACACGUGUUACAAUGGGGGGUACAGAAGGCAGCUAGCGGGUGACCGUAUGCUAAUCCCAAAAUCCUCUCUCAGUUCGGAUCGAAGUCUGCAACCCGACUUCGUGAAGCUGGAUUCGCUAGUAAUCGCGCAUCAGCCACGGCGCGGUGAAUACGUUCCCGGGCCUUGUACACACCGCCCGUCAAGCCAUGGGAGCCGGGGGUACCUGAAGUACGUAACCGCAAGGAUCGUCCUAGGGUAAAACUGGUGACUGGGGCUAAGUC
rnacentral:rRNA from 1 species